rnacentral:misc_RNA from 1 species
UUAAGUUCAGCGGGUAUUCCUACCUGAUCCGAGGUCAAACUCGUGGGGGUCGGGGGUUUUACGGCGUGGGCGCGCUGCGCUCCGGUGCGAGGUGUGCUACUACGCAAGGGAGCCCGCAGCGGGACCGCCACUGUAUUUAGGGGUCGGCGCGCCGCGAGGGCGGCCGGUCCCCAGCACCGCGGCCCGGAUGGGCGCGAGGG